rnacentral:rRNA from 1 species
GACGAACGCUGGCGGCGUGCUUAACACAUGCAAGUCGAACGAAGUGGGAACGGGUGAGUAAUACGUGAGUAACCUCCCUCCUUUUUGGGAUAAGCCUUGGAAACGGGGUCUAAACCGGAUAGAUGGUCUCGCGGCCUAUCAGCUUGUUGGUGGGGUGAUGGCCUACCAAGGCGGUGACGGGUAGCCGGCCUGAGAGGGUGACCGGCCAAAGUGGGAAUGAGAUACGGCCCCGACCCCUAAGGGAGGCAGCAGUGGGGGAUAUUGCAAAAUGUGCGAAAGCCUGAUGCAGCGACGCCGCGGGAGUGAAGAAGGUUUUCGGAUCGGAAAGCUCUGUUGUUAGAGAAGCGGUAACUAACCAGAAAGGGACGGCUAACUACGUGCCAGCCGCCGCGGUAAUUC